GCUCGGCCUCGCCAGAUCUAGCGAGGCCCAGCCUCGCCGGUGGCCAGGCGAGGCUGGGCCUCGCUAGAUCUGGCGAGGCCGAGC
rnacentral:pre_miRNA from 1 species